UACGUAGGGUCCGAGCGUUGUCCGGAAUUAUUGGGCGUAAAGGGCUCGUAGGCGGUUUGUCGCGUCGGGAGUGAAAACACGGGGCUUAACCCCGUGCCUGCUUCCGAUACGGGCAGACUAGAGGUAUGCAGGGGAGAACGGAAUUCCUGGUGUAGCGGUGAAAUGCGCAGAUAUCAGGAGGAACACCAAUAGCGAAGGCAGCUCGCUGGGACGGUACUGACGCUAAGGCGCGAAAGCGUGGGGAGCGAACAGG
rnacentral:rRNA from 1 species